UAACGAAUUUUUAGGGCGUACGGUGGAUGCCUUGGCUCUCACAGGCGAAGAAGGACGUGACAAGCUGCGAUAAUCCGCGAUGAGGUGCAAGUAACCGUUGAUCCGCGGGUCUCCGAAUGGGACAACCCGGCAGUCUGAAUGGCUGUCAGCGCGUACAUAGGUAUGCGCGGCGAACGCGGGGAACUGAAACAUCUUAGUACCCGUAGGAAGAGAAAAUAAAUUAAUGAUUCCCCUAGUAGUGGCGAGCGAACGGGGAAGAGCCUAAACCGCAGAUGUCCUUGUGGCAUUUACGGGGUUGUAGGACCGCGAUAUUUGUUGUAUCAUUGAACCGGAAGCAUCCGGAAUGAUGCGCCGCAGAAGGUGAAAGCCCUGUACGGGUAGACAGAUACAAUGAUAGCGGUAUCCUGAGUAGCACGGGUCACGUGGAAUCCUGUGUGAAUCUUCCGGGACCAUCCGGAAAGGCUAAAUACUCGUGAGAGACCGAUAGUGAACCAGUACCGUGAGGGAAAGGUGAAAAGCACCCCGCGCAGGGGAGUGAAAAAGUUCCUGAAACCGUACGCCUGCAAGCGGUCGGAGCCGAUUAAAUCGGUGACGGCGUGCCUUUUGCAUAAUGAACCUACGAGUUGCCGCCGUUGGCGAGGCUAAGCCCCAGAGAGAGGUGGAGCCGGAGCGAAAGCGAGUCUGAAAUGGGCGCAUAGUCAUCGGAGGCAGACGCGAAACCAAGUGAUCUACCCUCGUCCAGGAUGAAGUCCGGGUAACACCGGAUGGAGGUCCGCACCAAUAAGCGUUGAAAAGCUUCUGGAUGAGGUGAGGGUAGGAGUGAAAGGCCAAUCAAACUUGGAGAUAGCUCGUACUCCCCGAAAAGCAUUUAGGUGCUGCCUCGUUGAGUGAUUGCCGGAGGUAGAGCGACUGAUAGGAUGCGAGGGCUUCACCGCCUGUCAAGUCCUGACAAACUCCGAAUGCCGGUAAUUUUACAACGGGAGAAAGGGCGUGGGUGCUAAGGUCCACGCCCGAGAGGAGAAGAAUCCGGACCGUCGGCUAAGGUCCCGGAGUGCAUGUUAAGUUAGUCUAACGAGGUGCGGCCCCCGCGACAGCUAGGAUGUUGGCUUGGAAGCAGCCAUUCAUUCAAAGAGUGCGUAACAGCUCACUAGUCGAGGGUCUGCGCGUGGAUAAUAAUCGGGUAUGAAACAUGCCGCCGAAGCCACGGGAUUCACUAUUAUUUAGUGGAUCGGUAGGGGAGCAUUCCAUUUUCGGUGAAGGUAUUCCGUGAGGAGUGCUGGAGAUCAUGGAAAAGCAAAUGUAGGUAUAAGUAACGAUAAGGGGGGUGGGAUGCCCCCCCGCCGUAAGGUCAAGGUUUCCUGAACAACGUUAAUCGGUUCAGGGUUAGCCGGGUCCUAAGGAUAAGCCGAAGGGCGAAGCCGACGGAUGAAACGGUUAAUAUUCCGUUGCCGGCUUAUAUAAGUGAUGCGGUGAAGGAGCAGUGAAACUCUCGCGCCCUGACGGAACAGGGCGUUGAAGCACGAAGGCGUUAGGGUUCCGUAGUAAAGUACGCGGGAUUAGUCGAAGUGCGACAGUACGCAGACCCUUCGGGGCGAGCGAUAGUAGAGGUAAUGGCUUCCGAGAAAACCCGCUAAACGUUAAUAUAUAAGCCGCCCGUACUGUAAACGGACACACGUGACCGGGUAGAACAUACUAAGGCGCUAGGGAGACUCACGGUUAAGGAACUAGGCAAAAUGACCCUGUAACUUCGGGAGAAAGGGUCCUGCGGUGCGAGCCGCAGGCGCAGAGAAAAGGUCCAGGCAACUGUUUACCAAAAACACAGGGCUGUGCGAAGUAUAAAGACGACGUAUACAGCCUGACACCUGCCCGGUGCCGGAAGGUUAAGAGGAGGUCUCAGCAACUUCUGUUGUGAAGGUCCGAAUUGAAGCCCCGGUAAACGGCGGCCGUAACUAUAACGGUCCUAAGGUAGCGAAAUUCCUUGUCGGGUAAGUUCCGACCUGCACGAAUGGUGUAAUGAUCCGGACACUGUCUCAACCGUGAUCC
rnacentral:rRNA from 1 species